rnacentral:rRNA from 1 species
UACAGGGGGGGCAAGCGUUGUUCGGAAUUACUGGGCGUAAAGGGCCAGUAGGCGGCCAACUAAGUCACACGUGAAAUCCCCAGGACUUAACCUGGGAACUGCGUGUGAUACUGGAUGGCUUGAAUUCGGGAGAGGGAUGCAGGAAUUCCAGGUGUAGCGGUGAAAUGCGUAGAUAUCUGGAGGAAUACCGGUGGCGAAGGCGGCAUCCUGGACCGACGAUUGACGCUGAACGGCGAAAGCUAGGGGAGCAAACGGG